rnacentral:rRNA from 1 species
AUGCCGCCGCAAGCCACCGCCUCGCAGCAGGGAGACUGCUGCCGCCACGGCCAGCUCCCCCGCUGGCACGGCGACGCCGGCGCCGAGGCGCUGCCCUUCUACGUGCCGCUGCGCAAGCGCCUCUCCGUGGACGGCAAGUCCCCGGCGCCGCGGAUAUGCAUCUGGGAGUGCGACGGCGAGGCCGGCGACAUCACCUGCGACAUCGUCCCCGCGCCCUUCCGCCGCAGCUGCAGCGCCAGGAUGACGAUGCAGCCGCCGGCCCCCUUCUUCCGGACGAUGACGCCGCCGCCGCCGAGGCCACAGAGGGUGCUGGAGGAGGAGGAGCGGCAGGAGGCCAGGAGGCCCGGGAAGGCCAUCCGCAAGGGCCACCGGAGCUACGGCCUCAUGCUCAACCUGCAGCUCGGCAUAAGUUAUUCGGUGGGGAAGUCGUCGGCGCUGCCGUUCAAGAAGCUCUUGGCAUCGGACUUCGACCCGCGGGAGAAGGUCUGGACGCGGUUCCCGCCGGAAGGCUCCAAGCUCACGCCGCCGCAUCACUCAAUGGAUUUCCGGUGGAAGGACUACUGCCCUGCCGUCUUCAGGCACCUGAGGAAAUUGUUUGGGGUUGACCCUGCGGACUACAUGCUUGCAAUCUGUGGCAACGACACGCUCCGGGAGCUGGCGUCCCCCGGUAAGAGCGGGAGCUGCUUCUUCAUCACCCAGGAUGAUCGGUUCAUGAUUAAAACAGUGAAGAAGGCUGAAGUGAAGGUUCUUAUUAGGAUGCUGCGGAGUUACUAUGAACACGUUCGUCUGCAUAAGUCCACCUUGUUGACAAGAUUCUGUGGCACGCAUUGCAUUAAGCAAGUUGGAUGUCCCAAGGUCCGGUUCGUUAUAAUGGGCAAUUUUUGCUGCUCGGAGUAUAAGAUUCACAGGCGUUUUGAUUUGAAAGGUUCCUCACAUGGUCGGACUAUCGACAAAACGGAGCGAAAGAUUGACGAAACCACUACUCUGAAGGACCUCGAUCUUGAUUAUGCAUUUCGGCUGCAAAGAUUUUGGUACGAGGAACUUAUGAAGCAAAUUCAGAUGGACUGCGUAUUCUUGGAGACACAAGGAAUUAUGGACUACAGCCUAUUGUUAGGAGUUCACUUUCGUAAUGAUUUGUCUGUGUCUAAGAUAGGCCUCUCUCAGCCCAUUGCUCUGCCAAAAUCUACUGGCAAAAGAAAAUCAUUUGAAGGCGGAGGCAAUUUUUGUGAGCAAUGCUUUAUGGAAACAGGAUGCAAAGAGAGGGAUUUGAUCACAGAAUCCCGGAGGCCAUUUGUGCAGCUGGGCAUGAACAUGCCCGCCCAGGCAGAGCGCAGCUCGAAGAGAAUACUCGACAAGUUCCUUUUGAACGAGAGGCACCUGUUCAUAACAGCGCCGAGCGGGGGACCGUGUGAUGUCUACCUCUUCUUCGGAAUAAUCGACAUCCUACAAGACUACGACAUAACCAAGAAGCUGGAGCACGCCUACAAGUCUUUCCAGGUCAACCCUGGCCGCAUUUCUGCCGUGGAUCCCAAGCUCUACUCGAGGAGGUUCCAGGAUUUCAUUCGCAGGGUGUUCCUGAAACAACAGCAUUGA